AACGAACGCUGGCGGCGUGCCUAACACAUGCAAGUCGAGCGCGAAUGGAGCAAUCCUAGUAGAGCGGCGCACGGGUGCGUAACACGUGAGUAAUCUGCCUCAAAGAUCGGGAUAACCUUCCGAAAGGUUGGCUAAUACCGGAUAAGCCCACGGGUUCUUCGGAAUCUGAGGGAAAAGGUGGCCUCUGUAUACAAGCUAUCACUUUGAGAUGAGCUCGCGGCCCAUCAGCUAGUUGGCGGGGUAACGGCCCACCAAGGCAACGACGGGUAGCUGGUCUGAGAGGACGAUCAGCCACACUGGAACUGAGACACGGUCCAGACUCCUACGGGAGGCAGCAGUGGGGAAUUUUCCACAAUGGGCGAAAGCCUGAUGGAGCAACGCCGCGUGUGUGAUGAAGGCCUUCGGGUUGUAAAGCACUUUCGACCGGGACGAAAACCCGUAAGCUAACAUCUUACGGCUUGACUGUACCGGGAGAAGAAGCACCGGCUAACUCUGUGCCAGCAGCCGCAGUAA
rnacentral:rRNA from 1 species